rnacentral:rRNA from 1 species
CCUACGGGAGGCAGCAGUGAGGAAUUUUCCGCAAUGGGCGAAAGCCUGACGGAGCAAUGCCACGUGGAGGAGGAAGGCCUGUGGGUCGUAAACUCCUUUUCUCAGAGAAGAAGUUCUGACGGUAUCUGAGGAAUAAGCAUCGGCUAACUCUGUGCCAGCAGCCGCGGUAAUACAGGGGAUGCAAGCGUUAUCCGGAAUUAUUGGGCGUAAAGCGUCCUGAGGUGGCUUACCCAGUCGACUGUGAAAGCUCAAGGCUUAACCUUGAAACGGCAGUCGAAACUUGUAAGCUUGAGUACGGUAGGGGCAGAGGGAAUUCCCGGAGGAGAGGUGAAAUUCGUAGAUAUCGGGAGGAAGGCCAAAGGCGAAAGCACUCUGCUGGGCCGAUUACUGACACUGACAGACGAAAGCUAGGGGAGCGAAAGGGAUUAGAUACCCCUGUAGUCCUAGCCGUAAACGAUGGAUACUAAGUGUUGUCGCGACUACAAACGUACGACAGUGCUGCGAGACGUAACGUACGGUAACGGUAACGUACCCGUCCGUCGGGUAGGUAGUGCCGCCGAACGGUAGGAAACGUACGAAACGGUAAAGUUAGUACGGUUCGUUGUAGACGUUAGCCGACGGACGACGACGAGGGAGGAGG